rnacentral:rRNA from 1 species
GACGAACGCUGGCGGCGUGCCUAAUACAUGCAAGUCGAACGAGUGGCGCACGGGUGAGUAACACGUGGGAAACCUACUCUCCAGCGGGGGAUAACCAUCGGAAACGAUGACUAAUACCGCAUACUGACGGUUGGUCCCGCGUGGCAUUUGCUUGUUGGUAAGGUAACGGCUUACCAAGGCAAUGGUGCAUAGCCGACCUGGGAGGGUGAUCGGCCACAUUGGGACUGGGACACGGCCCAAACUCCUACGGGAGGCAGCAGUAGGGAACCUUCCGCAAUGGACGCAAGCCUGACGGGGAAACGCCGCGGGGGUGAAGAAGGUUUUCGGAUCGUAAAGCACUGUUAUUAGAGAAGCGGUAUCUAACCAGAAAGGGACGGCUAACUACGUGCCAGCAGCCGCGGUAAUAC